GCCUGAUCUCCCAUGCCGCAGUGAGUGACGAAGGUCCUAGGAUCGUAAAGCUCUUUCACCCGUGAAGAUAAUGACGGUAGCGGGAGAAGAAACCCCGGCUAACUCCGUGCCAGCAGCCGCGGUAAUACGGAGGGGGUUAGCGUUGUUCGGAAUUACUGGGCGUAAAGCGCACGUAGGCGGAUCAGAAAGUUGGGGGUGAAAUCCCGGGGCUCAACCCCGGAACUGCCUUCAAAACUUCUGGUCUGGAGUUCGAGAGAGGUGAGUGGAAUUCCGAGUGUAGAGGUGAAAUUCGUAGAUAUUCGGAGGAACACCAGUGGCGAAGGCGGCUCACUGGCUCGAUACUGACGCUGAGGUGCGAAAGCGUGGGUAGCAAACAGGAUUAGAUACCCUGGUAGUCCACGCCGUAAACGAUGAAUGCCAGACGUCGGGCAGCAUGCUGUUCGGUGUCACACUUAACGGAUUAAGCAUUCCGCCUGGGGAGUACGGCCGCAAGGUUAAA
rnacentral:rRNA from 1 species